rnacentral:rRNA from 1 species
UACGUAGGGUGCGAGCGUUAAUCGGAAUUACUGGGCGUAAAGCGUGCGCAGGCGGUUUUGUAAGCCAGGUGUGAAAUCCCCGGGCUCAACCUGGGAAUGGCAUUUGGGACUGCAAGGCUGGAGUGCGGCAGAGGAGACUGGAAUUCCUGGUGUAGCAGUGAAAUGCGUAGAUAUCAGGAGGAACACCGAUGGCGAAGGCAGGUCUCUGGGCUGACACUGACGCUCAUGCACGAAAGCCGUGGGGAGCGAAACAAGG